UGACGAAUUCCCUGAUAUGUUUAAGCUUUGUAUCAAGUUCUUUUUCAAACAUGCCACCUAAAAAUAAACAUAAAACUAAAUAUAAACAAAUCUGAAUUCAAGUUUAAACCAAAUAACAAUCACUCAUCGGCAACGACGCCAAAGAUGAGUGCCAAAUGCACUAAUUAGAAAUAAUCUACCUAAACUACUUGUUUAUAGGGUAAGCAGAGGUCGAUCCUAUAGGGAAUGAGUAAAUGUAAACAAGAAAACAGAUCUUAGCGACACAAAUAAAUAAAAGGUAAAACAGACAAAAUAAACACCUAAAUUUAUCAAACUGAAUAUGCAAAGUAAAAUAAAAUGGGAUUUUGAUUUGUAUUCGCUAAACUAGUGAAGUUAAACUAAGAAUACUAGAAUAUAAACUAAGGCUAAUGACACUUAUGAAUACUCAACAUAACCAGAUUGUAACAAAUUCAGUAGAGGGUGUUAUCUACCAUAGAAUGUAUAUUAAUUAUUGACUAAAGAUGUAAAUUUAUUCAAUUGAGUAAAUUGAUUAUAGAAGUUAAUAACGUCCUUAUCUUUUCUUACAAAUUAGAUUAAACAGGAAGUGCUUUACUAUUAAUUCCUUACCAUCGCACUCAAUCUAAGAUUAGAGCAUAUUAUAAUUAAGUUUAAUGGUAGCAUUAAUAAUUAGAAAGCAUCCUAAUUCAAGGUAACAAACUCAUUCAGCAUGGUUCAUUUAACCUAGACACUCAUCUUUAUAAUGAAAUAAAUCAUUAUGUGCUACGUGUAGUCAGAUUAUUCGAGUUAUUAUGUACUCAAAUUAUCUUAACUUAGGAGUCUGUUUUUAUGCACAAUUAAUUAGUUGACCACUCUAACUAACCAUACAUUCAACAUUCAUAACAUAAACCAGAAGAUUAGUGAUACUCAAUAUAGAACAAAUCUGGAUGUUAUUAAACUCAAAUCAAACUCUCAUGGCAAUAUGUUCCAUGGUUUUAACUAUCUCUCUACUAAAUUAUAAAAUUACUUACACAUAACUAAGAACAUUAAGUAUAAACAAAUUAACAAAAGAAGAGAGAAAAACAUGCUGUUCCUUUUAGAAGUAAUUUGAAAGUUGGAUCUGAUGUUGAUGAUGAUGCUACACACUCCAAAGGACGUAGAAGUGCGCUUCACAAGCCACAAAAAGAAGAAGAAAUCAUGCCAGCAACCAGAUCAAGCAGUUGAUAUCUUUGAAUGCAUAAAGAAAGAAUUUAGCCACUAUGAGUAGAAGAGAAUUGAAAAACUCCAUAUUUGUAUUUUGGACUCUUUUAUAGAGAAAAAUAGGUUAACUCAAACUCCAGAUCUAAUUUGGAAGUCUUAGUUGUAUUUUGACUUAAAACUCUUUCAAGAAUCCUAGUUAAAGGAGGAAAAUAAGUUAAAAACAACUCUCCUUUUACAUAUCUACUACUUGCACUACCUUGGAGACCCACACAUUUUUAUUUUAUUUAGUUUGUGCGUUAAAUAAAAUAAUUAAACCCCCCAAUUAAGGCCUUAACUCCUGGUUCCACAUAACUAACCAUGAAGAGUCUAAACACGCUCGACAUGUAACCCUCCAUGUAAUCUGGCCAAUUGCUUUCAUUUUUCAUAUAUCACCUCAAAAUAUAUCAACUAAGGUCCAUAUAAGCCCACAAGGUCAGAUUCACACUCUAAAUAGUGAAUCACAGACAAGCUCUAUUAAUGUUAUCCAAAGAAGCUCAACAUGGAUUGAUAUUCGAAUCUGUUCGUUUUUCACCA
rnacentral:misc_RNA from 1 species